rnacentral:rRNA from 1 species
UACGAAGGGGGCUAGCGUUGCUCGGAAUCACUGGGCGUAAAGGGUGCGUAGGCGGGGCUUUAAGUCUGGGGUGAAAUCCUGGAGCUCAACUCCAGAACUGCCUUUGAUACUGAGGAUCUUGAGUUCGGGAGAGGUGAGUGGAACUGCGAGUGUAGAGGUGAAAUUCGUAGAUAUUCGCAAGAACACCAGUGGCGAAGGCGGCUCACUGGCCCGAUACUGACGCUGAGGCACGAAAGCGUGGGGAGCAAACAGG